rnacentral:lncRNA from 1 species
CGCGCGCCGAGGCCUUCCGCGCACCGGCGCCGCGCUGGCGCGCAGGCCGGCCGCCCCCGCCGCCUCCACCGCCGCCCCCGAGGACGCUGAGGAGCACGAGGCGCAAGAGUCAGCAGAGAAGUCGGCCAGCGAGGAGCCGCCCGCCCCCGCCGCCCCCGAGUCGGCGGACAGCGCCGCCCCCGCGGCAGAGCCCGCCCCCACGACGCCCGCCUCCGGCCUGAGCCGCCUCCUCGCCAAACGCCGGCCGCUGGUUCGCCGCCCCCAGCCACAGACAGCAGCAGCUACGGCCUAGGCGUCCAGCUGUCUCAUCUCGCCGCGAGGAGCCACAGUCGCACGUCUCACAGACGACCCCGACGAUUCCCCCCCCCCUCCUCCUUCCCACAGCCCCCCCCCCCCGCCCGGCACCUAGUCGACCCCCUCCAAUCCGCCGCCUAACCCUGCCAAAUUUCCCACAUGCUCCUCCUACUGUGGGGGUCUCCCCACCCACUAGACCUGCACACGAGUCAGUAGCAGACGUCGCAACUCGACCGGUGUCCCAAAGGCGAUGAUCACAAUUUUGUUACAAACGUUGAGGUGGACCGACUACACAAAGCAGACUCGUCUCCAAACGCUCUAUAUCAUAAUUAAGUUUCUCUCGGAGAAACAUGCCAGAUGGCACUAUCCUAUCCUUCCCAAUCUCCUUAUGUUCCACAGACCAGGUAGAAUAUCUAGCGGUUUGUGUCGAACACAUCAGCGGUGGUGUCUACAGAAAUCUCAAGUCAAUAAUGAGAGAAAGUUGAAUAUAUCCAUCUUCCAUGUGCAGCCACAGCAGAUCUGAUGAAUUGUCAAACCAGCACCUUCAUACUUCAUCAAACUUUAUUAAAUUCCUUCUACAUCCAAACGACUCCAAUUUACUCAUUCUUUGUACAGACAGUGAUGGCGUCUCUUAUCAGUUCAUUGGUCCUCCUCAACAUAUUACAACCAAUUUCAUAAUCUUGAAAGUUGAACUCCAUCUGUGCAUAGUUUUAGCUUCUUAUUUACCAAAUUUUUGUAUCACAGAAUAUCCCAAAACAACGUCCAGCUUCACUUGUAAAAAACAGAUGGCACAACCUUGACUCUGAGAUGGGGUUCAAAUGGGAUAAAACCAUGGAGCUAGCGCUGACCUCACUCCACAUUUAAACCCAUAAUCUUUCUCGAAAUACGCAACCCUUAUGCGUGAAUGAAAGGCGCAAAAUGCAAACAAGCACUAGCUCUUAUGAUCUCAAACUGCCGAAACGUGCAGAUGCUUUUCACUCUGCCCGAUUUACUAACUCAAACUGUAAAUAAGUAUACUGGUCUUCGCAGACGAUAUAUAGAAUUUGGCGUGACAGGGGGCGUUGACGACAUCGACACAGUCUCACAGUACUGUUCCCUUCAGAGGACUGGUGUGGCCAGCGGGGAAUAGUACUGUCAGUUAUUUCUACUGGAGGCUUAAAAUCGUGACAGGAGAAGGACUCAGAAAAUACACAACUCUCACUCUUAGACCGCUCACCUGAUUUUAAUCCCGAUGUUUACUGGUACACUUGACGAGUUUAUGUCAUGACCAUAGUCCUUCCUCUAGCGAAAUCUUUACUUUUCAGCCUGCACAACCCGACUCUCCCUGCCGUUACCUCAGCCCUGAAAUGAGCCUGAUGGACACACACACACACACACACACACACACACACACACACACACUCACACAUACUCCCAGAUGAGGCACCACUGCAUCCCACUGCGGUCCUCCUUGGACCCUGGCUAUGAGGGACACGCAGGUGCUCGUACUAUUCCUCCUGAUGAGCCACUAUCCCGUCCCCCUCCCUCGUUACUGGGACCCCUAUUAUUACUAUUACUAUUAUAGUUUUUGCUACUAGUACUAGCACCAUCCACUGGCUGGUGUUCGUUUUUCUUGUGAGUGUGCAGCCCCACCCUGAGCUGCCAGUGUGAAAGUGCCAAGACUCUUCUUAUUGUUUGUUUUUUUAUUGUCUCCCUCUCCUCAUUAUUUUUGUACAUAUUGUAUUUCCACACUUGAUGCAUUGAAUUGAUUGAGAGGAAUAAAACAUAUUAUUACAACUUA